CGCAGGAAUAGUCUACUAACCUUUCAUUCAAAUCUUGGACACUUGGUAUCACAGCUAGUAUCUCUUAAAGCAGACAACCUCUGAAAAUGUACAAGGCUGCCCUGAUCUUCACCCUUCUUGUGGCUCUUGCUAGUUUCACAACAGCUUUACCAGCAGUUGAUGAUGAUAUUUUAGAAGCUAAACGAGAGAGUCCUUGCCCCACUAACAAGUUGAAGUACUGUCAUUCGAUUGAAGAGGAUUGUUGGUGGACAGACGAUGCUAAAAGUGAAGCCUGCGUGUACGCUAAGAGAUGCUGUUAAAAAUUGCCGAUUCAGCAGUGCCAGCGAAAUUGCACCUAAAACCGGAUAGUUGAUAGCAUAGUAGUCAUAUACUCAGUAAGACUCAGUAAGAUAUUCAUUAUUCAUUAAGUAUAUGUAAUGUAAACCUAUAUUAGUUUAGAACGAAAUUAAAUAAAUUUUCACAUUU